rnacentral:tRNA from 1 species
GGGGUUAUAGCUCAGUUGGUAGAGCGCCUGCUUUGCAAGCAGGAGGUCGAGGGUUCGAAUCCUUCUAACUCCA